AUACAUAUUUCUCCUCGUUUUUUUCCCCUGUGCAUAUAUCAAUCAGAGACCAUUGGGUCAACCCUGAUGACAAAAUUCCUUUGCCCGGCACCCCCUACAAAUCGCUUCCGUUUGUGCGAGGGUGCCAAAAGGACUUAGAUCAGGGCAUUAGAAACGACAGCAGCAACAACAAAUGAUGGUAAGGCAUCGAACGUAUUUUUGGGUAUGCCGGCAUGCGAUUUAGGCAUGGCAUUCAAUACGUUUGAUCUGUGCAAGCAACACUCGUGCUCAAGAAAUUGCAAAACCAAAAUAAAUAAGAUUCGAUUUAUGUUGUUAGCCCCGAAACCGAAAAGGGGCGAAAAAGCCUCUCAACAUCUUCCGUUUUUAUUUACAGACGCUCAAAUAGUUCGUCGAACAGCCUCUGCCGGAAGACCCAAAGAGCAAACCCGGCUCUUUUAUCACUCACACAAAAGUUUCCAUUCGCAUUUUCAGGCCGCAAAAUUUGUGUAUUUGCACUGCGGAUUUGUAUUUUGUGUUCGCCGUGUGGCAGCAAAUUUUUAAUGAAUUUACAGGGACAAAAGGCAACUGAACCAAACUCAACCAAACCAAACCGAACCGAAACGAAACGAGUGAAAGGGCCCGGAAUGAAAUGCCAUUCCGUACGAAAACGGAAUGGGAAUCCGGGACUCAUUUGAUAUUCAAAACACAUUCGGCAAAUAUUGAUACCCCCGUAAAUUGUUUAAAAUGCGCAAUAUCCAACGUCAAUAGAAGACAAAUUGUGAACUAAAAGCGUAAAACGCAAAUCACGCAGCUUUUAAAACUUUGUCCCCGGCGCCAUGGGGCGUAUACUUGAUUAUUGGCAAUCAGCCAUAGUUGGGCAACUUCCCCAUCAACCGCCCACAGUUAGCGGGGUCCGCC
ensembl:ncRNA lncRNA:CR46106 long non-coding RNA:CR46106